CUUGAUCGACCCGAGCCAGAGCGGCCGGUCCUCCGGCCGACCCUGCCCGUACGUGGCCAGCAACGCCUGCGCCUC
rnacentral:antisense_RNA from 1 species